rnacentral:siRNA from 1 species
UCAAGAUCGUGGUAUGUCUGACC